rnacentral:rRNA from 1 species
GGUGCUUGCAUCAUGAUUUACAUUUGAGUGAGUGGCGAACUGGUGAGUAACACGUGGGAAACCUGCCCAGAAGCGGGGGAUAACACCUGGAAACAGAUGCUAAUACCGCAUAACAACUUGGACCGCAUGGUCCGAGUUUGAAAGAUGGCUUCGGCUAUCACUUUUGGAUGGUCCCGCGGCGUAUUAGCUAGAUGGUGGGGUAACGGCUCACCAUGGCAAUGAUACGUAGCCGACCUGAGAGGGUAAUCGGCCACAUUGGGACUGAGACACGGCCCAAACUCCUACGGGAGGCAGCAGUAGGGAAUCUUCCACAAUGGACGAAAGUCUGAUGGAGCAACGCCGCGUGAGUGAAGAAGGGUUUCGGCUCGUAAAACUCUGUUGUUAAAGAAGAACAUAUCUGAGAGUAACUGUUCAGGUAUUGACGGUAUUUAACCAGAAAGCCACGGCUAACUACGUGCCAGCAGCCGCGGUAAUACGUAGGUGGCAAGCGUUGUCCGGAUUUAUUGGGCGUAAAGCGAGCGCAGGCGGUUUUUUAAGUCUGAUGUGAAAGCCUUCGGCUCAACCGAAGAAGUGCAUCGGAAACUGGGAAACUUGAGUGCAGAAGAGGACAGUGGAACUCCAUGUGUAGCGGUGAAAUGCGUAGAUAUAUGGAAGAACACCAGUGGCGAAGGCGGCUGUCUGGUCUGUAACUGACGCUGAGGCUCGAAAGUAUGGGUAGCAAACAGGAUUAGAUACCCUGGUAGUCCAUACCGUAAACGAUGAAUGCUAAGUGUUGGGAGGGUUUCCGCCCCUUCCCUGCUGCCGCUAACGCCUUUAACCUUUCCGCCCGGGGGAGUACGGGCCGCAAGGG